GAUGAACGCUGGCGGCGUGCCUAAUUCAUGCAAGUCGAGCGAACAGACGAGGAGCUUGCUCCUCUGACGUUAGCGGCGGACGGGUGAGUAACACGUGGAUAACCUACCUAUAAGACUGGGAUAACUUCGGGAAACCGGAGCUAAUACCGGAUAAUAUAUUGAACCGCAUGGUUCAAUAGUGAAAGACGGUUUUGCUGUCACUUAUAGAUGGAUCCGCGCCGCAUUAGCUAGUUGGUAAGGUAACGGCUUACCAAGGCAACGAUGCGUAGCCGACCUGAGAGGGUGAUCGGCCACACUGGAACUGAGACACGGUCCAGACUCCUACGGGAGGCAGCAGUAGGGAAUCUUCCGCAAUGGGCGAAAGCCUGACGGAGCAACGCCGCGUGAGUGAUGAAGGUCUUCGGAUCGUAAAGCUCUGUUAUUAGGGAAGAACAAAUGUGUAAGUAACUAUGCACGUCUUGACGGUACCUAAUCAGAAAGCCACGGCUAACUACGUG
rnacentral:rRNA from 1 species